rnacentral:rRNA from 1 species
GACGAACGCUGGCGGCGUGCUUAACACAUGCAAGUCGAACGAGGAUGUUGGCUUCGGCUGACAUUCGAGUGGCGGACGGGUGAGUAACGCGUGAGCAAUCUGUCCCACAGAGGGGGAUAACAACUGGAAACAGUUGCUAAUACCGCAUAAGACCACACUGUCGCAUGACAGAGAGGUCAAAGGAGCAAUCCGCUGUGGGGUGAGCUCGCGUCCGAUUAGUUCGUUGGUGAGGUAACGGCCCACCAAGACAGCGAUCGGUAGCCGACCUGAGAGGGUGAUCGGCCACAUUGGGACUGAGACACGGCCCAGACUCCUACGGGAGGCAGCAGUGGGGAAUAUUGGGCAAUGGGCGAAAGCCUGACCCAGCAACGCCGCGUGAGGGAAGAAGGUUUUCGGAUUGUAAACCUCUGUCCUAAGGGACGAAGGAAGUGACGGUACCUUAGGAGGAAGCCCCGGCUAACUACGUGCCAGCAGCCGCGGUAAUACGUAGGGGGCGAGCGUUGUCCGGAAUGACUGGGCGUAAAGGGCGUGUAGGCGGCAGUAUAAGUCCGGAGUGAAAGUCCUGCUUUCAAGGUGGGAAUUGCUUUGGAGACUGUACAGCUUGAGUGCGGAAGAGGUAAGUGGAAUUCCCAGUGUAGCGGUGAAAUGCGUAGAGAUUGGGAGGAACACCAGUGGCGAAGGCGACUUACUGGGCCGUAACUGACGCUGAGGCGCGAAAGCGUGGGGAGCGAACAGGAUUAGAUACCCUGGUAGUCCACGCGGUAAACGAUGAAUGCUAGGUGUAGGGGGUAUCGACCCCUUCUGUGCCGGAGUAAACACAAUAAGCAUUCCGCCUGGGGAGUACGGCCGCAAGGUUGAAACUCAAAGGAAUUGACGGGGGCCCGCACAAGCAGCGGAGCAUGUGGUUUAAUUCGACGCAACGCGAAGAACCUUACCAGGUCUUGACAUCGAUCCAAAGCUACAGAGAUGUAGUGUGACUUCGGUCAGGAGAAGACAGGUGGUGCAUGGUUGUCGUCAGCUCGUGUCGUGAGAUGUUGGGUUAAGUCCCGCAACGAGCGCACCCUUAUUGUCAGUUACUAACGGGUAAAGCUGAGGACUCUGACGAGACUGCCGGGGACAACUCGGAGGAAGGUGGGGACGACGUCAAAUCAUCAUGCCCCUUAUGACCUGGGCUACACACGUGCUACAAUGGUGGUAACAAAGAGGAGCGAGCCCGUAAGGGUAAGCGGAUCUCAAAAAAGCCAUCUCAGUUCGGAUUGUGGGCUGCAACCCGCCCACAUGAAGUUGGAGUUGCUAGUAAUCGCGAAUCAGCAUGUCGCGGUGAAUACGUUCCCGGGCCU